rnacentral:rRNA from 1 species
AUUGAACGCUGGCGGCAGGCCUAACACAUGCAAGUCGAACGAGUGGCGGACGGGUGAGUAAUGUCUGGGAAACUGCCUGAUGGAGGGGGAUAACUACUGGAAACGGUAGCUAAUACCGCAUCCCAUCAGAUGUGCCCAGAUGGGCUUAGCUUGUUGGUGGGGAAACGGCUCCCCAAGGCGACGAUCCCUAGCUGGUCUGCGAGGAUGACCAGCAAACCUGGAACGGGGACAGGGCCCGAACUCCUACGGGAGACAGCGGUGGGGAGUCUUGCACAAUGGGCGCAAGCCUGAUGCGGCCAUGCCGCGUGUAUGAAGAAGUGCUUCGGGUUGUAAAGUACUUUCAGCGGGGAGGCGUUACCCGCAGAAGAAGCACCGGCUAACUCCGUGCCAGCAGCCGCGGUAAUAC